rnacentral:rRNA from 1 species
UAAUGGCUCACCAAGGCGACGACGGGUAGCCGGCCUGAGAGGGCGACCGGCCACACUGGGACUGAGACACGGCCCAGACUCCUACGGGAGGCAGCAGUGGGGAAUAUUGCACAAUGGGCGCAAGCCUGAUGCAGCGACGCCGCGUGAGGGAUGAAGGCCUUCGGGUUGUAAACCUCUUUCAGCAGGGAAGAAGCGAGAGUGACGGUACCUGCAGAAGAAGCGCCGGCUAACUACGUGCCAGCAGCCGCGGUAAUACGUAGGGCGCAAGCGUUGUCCGGAAUUAUUGGGCGUAAAGAGCUCGUAGGCGGUUUGUCGCGUCUGCUGUGAAAACCUAAGGCUCAACCUUGGGCUUGCAGUGGGUACGGGCAGACUAGAGUGCGGUAGGGGUGACUGGAAUUCCUGGUGUAGCGGUGGAAUGCGCAGAUAUCAGGAGGAACACCGAUGGCGAAGGCAGGUCACUGGGCCGCAACUGACGCUGAGGAGCGAAAGCAUGGGGAGCGAACAGGAUUAGAUACCCUGGUAGUCCAUGCCGUAAACGUUGGGCACUAGGUGUGGGGCUCAUUCCACGAGUUCCGUGCCGCAGCAAACGCAUUAAGUG